GACGAACCGUCCAAACGUUAUUCGGAAUUACUGGGCUUAAAGGGUGCGUAGGCUGCGCUGUAAGUCAGGUGUGAAAUCCCUCAGCUCAACUGAGGAAUUGCGCUUGAUACUGCAGUGCUCGAGGGAGAUAGGGGUUAGCGGAACUGAUGGUGGAGCGGUGAAAUGCGUUGAUAUCAUCAGGAACACCGGUGGCGAAAGCGGCUAACUGGAUCUCUUCUGACGCUGAGGCACGAAAGCUAGGGGAGCGAACGGG
rnacentral:rRNA from 2 species